AAUCUUCCGCAAUGGACGAAAGUCUGACGGAGCAACGCCGCGUGAGUGAUGAAGGUUUUCGGAUCGUAAAGCUCUGUCCUUGGGGAAGAAGGUCUUCGGACUUGACGGUACCCAUGGAGGAAGCCCCGGCUAACUACGUGCCAGCAGCCGCGGUAAUACGUAGGGGGCAAGCGUUGUCCGGAAUUAUUGGGCGUAAAGGGUGCGUAGGCGGCCUUUUAAGUCAGAUGUGAAAGCCCACGGCUCAACCGUGGGAUUGCAUUUGAAACUGGAGGGCUUGAGUAUCGGAGAGGGUAGUGGAAUUCCCAGUGUAGCGGUGAAAUGCGUAGAUAUUGGGAGGAACACCAGUGGCGAAGGCGACUACCUGGACGAUUACUGACGCUGAUGCACGAAAGCUAGGGGAGCAAACA
rnacentral:rRNA from 1 species